rnacentral:rRNA from 1 species
GACGAACGCUGGCGGCGUGCCUAAUACAUGCAAGUUGAGCGAUGAAGCUUGGUGCUUGCCCCAAUUUGAAGAGCAGCGAACGGGUGAGUAACGCGUGGGGAAUCUGCCUUUGAGCGGGGGACAACAUUUGGAAACGAAUGCUAAUACCGCAUAACAACUUUAAACAUAAGUUUUAAGUUUGAAAGAUGCAAUUGCAUCACUCAAAGAUGAUCCCGCGUUGUAUUAGCUAGUUGGUGAGGUAAAGGCUCACCAAGGCGAUGAUACAUAGCCGACCUGAGAGGGUGAUCGGCCACAUUGGGACUGAGACCCGGCCCAAACUCCUACGGGAGGCAGCAGUAGGGAAUCUUCGGCAAUGGACGAAAGUCUGACCGAGCAACGCCGCGUGAGUGAAGAAGGUUUUCGGAUCGUAAAACUCUGUUGGUAGAGAAGAACGUUGGUGAGAGUGGAAAGCUCAUCAAGUGACGGUAACUACCCAGAAAGGGACGGCUAACUACGUG